GUCUCCGUGGCCAAGCGGCUAAGGCGUGGGAUUGCAGAUCCUAAGAUCGUUGGUUCAAAUCCGACCGGGGACU
rfam:Pneumocystis murina B123 supercont1.14, whole genome shotgun sequence.